rnacentral:rRNA from 1 species
GAUGAACGCUGGCGGCGUGCCUAAUACAUGCAAGUCGAGCGAACAGACGAGGAGCUUGCUCCUCUGACGUUAGCGGCGGACGGGUGAGUAACACGUGGAUAACCUACCUAUAAGACUGGGAUAACUUCGGGAAACCGGAGCUAAUACCGGAUAAUAUAUUGAACCGCAUGGUUCAAUAGUGAAAGACGGUUUUGCUGUCACUUAUAGAUGGAUCCGCGCCGCAUUAGCUAGUUGGUAAGGUAACGGCUUACCAAGGCAACGAUGCGUAGCCGACCUGAGAGGGCGAGCGGCCACACGGGAAUAGAAACAGGGCCAAGACACCUAGGGGGGGCAGCAGGGGGAAAGCUUGGAAAAGGGGGAAAAGCUAGAGGGAACAAGGCGGGGGGGGUAAAAAGGUAUUGGGGGACGAAAAACUUUGUUAUGGGGAAAAAAAAAAUGUGAAAGAAAAAAUGCGCGUCGGGACGGAACAAAAAAAAAAAGCAAGGGGAAGCUCCGAC